CUACACAAAAUCACUCUAAUCCCCUAAAUUCAUCAGAAAUUGGCCACAUGAACCAAACAAAUCUACGAUGAAACCCAAAUUACAAUUUCAAAGUAACUGAAAAUCCCCAAGUUCAUCAGAGAUUAAUCACCGGAACCAAACAAAUCAACAAUGAAACCCAAAUUACAAUUUCAAAGUUGCUUGUGCUAAAGGUGUUGAUAAUGUUGUUAGGGAUGCGUUUGGGAGUUUGAAGGAGGGGAAGAGGAAGAUCUUUCCUACUUCCGGGAGGAAUUCUGAAAAGCGUUUGAAACUAUGGCCGGUGAAAGAAAAUGAUGUCGAAAGUGAUAGCAGUGCUGAUGAAGAUGAUGGAAAUUUGUAGGUUCUUGAUGAUGGAAGUCAUGAUGUAAAGUUAAAGGAUGGUGAAGGCAGUUCUGGUUCUGGUUCAGUGGAGAAUUGUGGUGGUGAAUCUUCUUCUCCUGGAGGUUUGACAGAGAGGAGAUUGGGAUGUUUUCAACUGGGGCUAGGGUCUGGAGUUCAUACUGAAAUCCAUCAGCUUGUAGGACGGAGUCGGGGAGUCAUGAGGAUAUUGUAUCUGAAACUGAGGUUUACGUUAAAAUAAAUGGGUCUGUUGAAACUAUAUCUGAAAGUUAUAUUCAAAUAGUUGAUGAAAGUGCAGCCUUUUUGAAAAACGGAUGCUAAAGAAGAAGAGAGCUAAUUAGAGACUACGACGUGUUAAUGCUGAGAAGAAAUUAUAAGAAUGGAAAGCUGAAGAAGUAGAGAGGAGAUUAGAGAAAGUUACUGAGCAGUUUCCAAAGAAUUGAAAAUAAAAUGGGUAUGAAGCAGAUGAGAAUUAUAUUGAGAAAUGUAAAGAGGAUUCUGAGAAAUGUGUUGAAGGUGUUGAGAAUGCUGUUAGGGAUCCAUUAGGGAGUUUGAGGGAAGGUAAAAGGAAGAUCUUUCUUUCUUUUGGGAGGAAUUCAGAAAAGCAUUUGAAGGCUAUGGUUUUCGUAUAAUGUGAUUGAAAUCUAAACAUGGUGGUGGAUGGUGCGUGUGGUUGUUGCUGCUGCUGGUGGUCUAUGCCCCAAAUAUCACCCUUCAGCACCAUUAAAACUUGAACUUGUCUAUGGGUGGUGAAUGAAGAUGAUGACAAAGGUGAUAGCGGUGAUGACAGAAAAUCGGAGGUUCUUGAUGAUGGAAUUCAUGAUAUAAAAUUAAAGGAUGGUUAAGGCAGUUCUGGUUCUGGUUCAGUGGAGAAGUUUAGUGGUAAUCUUGUUCUCCUGGAUUUUCAACAGAGAGGAACUUGGGAUGUUUUGAAGUGGGGCAAGGGUCCGGAGUUCAUAUUGAAGUUCAUCAGCUUGUAGGACCUGAAUUAGAGAGUCAUGAGGAUAUUGUAUCUAAAGAUGAGGUUCACUUUGAAGGAAAAUGGGUCUGUUGAAACUAAUUGAUCUGAAAGUGAAAAAUUUACGAAUUUGGAAACUGGGAGUAGUUUUGUAAGUAAUGCAGUUGUUGCUGAAACUAAUGGGUCUGUUGAAGAAGCAGCAGUUUCAAGUGAAAACAACUAUGACUUUGGAGAAGUACUGGAUUUCAAUGAUUUUCACUCUUCUGCGGAGAUAGAGGUUUUGUGGAGAGGUUGAAAGCAGAAUUACAAGCGUAUGGAUUGAGAUAUGGGGUGACGUGACAAGAGCGCGCUUCUAGGCUUUUGCUGCUCAAAACCACAGCUGUAAGUAAACUUCGAAUUAGCAGCUCUUGGAAAAGAAAUAGAUCUUUGUAAUUGACAAUUGUUUUACGAUAGAGUAGCUAUAUAGAGGCGAUGUAUCGUAUUGUUUUUAAGAUAACCUUUUAAUGGAAUCACAAAUUUUGUUAUGUAAAAUCUUAUGCCUGAAUGCAAAUGCAGAACUUCAG